UACAUUUUAGUAUAAGAGGUACAGAAAUUUUUGAUAUUUCUAGGGGUAGUUUAAUUCUGCCAAAUGUAA
rnacentral:tRNA from 1 species